rnacentral:rRNA from 1 species
GACGAACGCUGGCGGCGUGCUUAACACAUGCAAGUCGAGCGGUAAGGCCCUUUCGGGGGUACACGAGCGGCGAACGGGUGAGUAACACGUGGGUGACCUGCCCUUAGCUCUGGGAUAAGCCUGGGAAACUGGGUCUAAUACCGGAUAUGACUCCAUGACGCAUGUUGUGGGGUGGAAAGCCUUGUGCGGCUAGGGGAUGGGCCCGCGGCCUAUCAGCUUGUUGGUGGGGUGAUGGCCUACCAAGGCGACGACGGGUAGCCGGCCUGAGAGGCGACCGGCCACACUGGGACUGAGACACGGCCCAGACUCCUACGGGAGGCAGCAGUGGGGAAUCUUGCGCAAUGGGCGAAAGCCUGACGCAGCGACGCCGCGUGGGGAUGACGGCCU